GAUGAACGCUGGCGGCGUGCCUAAUACAUGCAAGUCGAGCGAACAGACGAGGAGCUUGCUCCUCUGACGUUAGCGGCGGACGGGUGAGUAACACGUGGAUAACCUACCUAUAAGACUGGGAUAACUUCGGGAAACCGGAGCUAAUACCGGAUAAUAUAUUGCACCGCAUGGUUCAAUAGUGAAAGACGGUUUUGCUGUCACUUAUAGAUGGAUCCGCGCCGCAUUAGCUAGUUGGUAAGGUAACGGCUUACCAAGGCAACGAUGCGUAGCCGACCUGAGAGGGUGAUCGGCCACACUGGAACUGAGACACGGUCCAGGCGCCUACGGGAGGCAGCAGUAGGGAAUCUGCCGCAAUGGGCGAAAGCUUGACGGAGCAACGCCGCGUGAGUGAUGAAGGUCUUCGGAUCGUAAAACUCUGUUAUUAGGGAAGAACAAAUGUGUAAGUAACUAUGCACGUCUUGACGGUACCUAAUCAGAAAGCCACGGCUAACUACGUG
rnacentral:rRNA from 1 species